UGUUGUGGUCAAUUUGGUCGAU
rnacentral:siRNA from 1 species